GGUAGGACUACCCGCUGAACUUAA
rnacentral:rRNA from 5 species